rnacentral:rRNA from 1 species
UACGUAGGGGGCGAGCGUUGUCCGGAUUUAUUGGGCGUAAAGAGCGUGUAGGCGGCCAGGUAGGUCUGCUGUGAAAACUCGAGGCUCAACCUCGAGACGUCGGCGGAAACCAUCUGGCUAGAGUCCGGAAGAGGAGAGUGGAAUUCCUGGUGUAGCGGUGAAAUGCGCAGAUAUCGGGAAGAACACCUAUGGCGAAGGCAGCUCUCUGGGACGGUACUGACGCUGAGACGCGAAAGCGUGGGGAGCGAACAGG